rnacentral:rRNA from 1 species
UACGGGGGGGGCAAGCGUUGUUCGGAAUUACUGGGCGUAAAGGGCCCGUAGGCGGCCAACUAAGUCAGACGUGAAAUCCCUCGGCUUAACCGGGGAACUGCGUCUGAUACUGGAUGGCUUGAGUUUGGGAGAGGGAUGCGGAAUUCCAGGUGUAGCGGUGAAAUGCGUAGAUAUCUGGAGGAACACCGGUGGCGAAGGCGGCAUCCUGGACCAACACUGACGCUGAGUGAGCGAAAGCCAGGGGAGCAAACGGG